UGCCGAAACCCGGGAUCGAACCAGGGACCUUUAGAUAUCCAGUCUAACGCUCUCCUAGCUGAGAUAUUUCGGC
rnacentral:tRNA from 1 species